AUAGAAUCUUACCAGUGGGUAGGAAAGGAUCAUAUAAAAUAUGAAGAAAUAGCCAUAUUAAAUUUUUUGCUGUCAUUUGCCUCCGCAACAAAGCGAGUGUAAGUGUCUAAUGCUGAAGCUAGAGUGAACUCAUGUGCCAGCAGAGGCCUCCUCUCUUUAUAGCAAUUCUGACAAUAGGUUUGUUUGUUUGUUUGUUUGUUUUUACAAACUCAAGAAAAACAGACUCACUUGAAAAAAUGGAUGCCAGUCACCUGGUUCCCACUACUGUCGUAGCAGAUAGCGAAGGGACAAUCUGAGACUUGUAGAGAUGAUUUAAUGAGAAGCACAAUUUUUAUUGUGACCAGUCACGUUCUAUCACCAGGCACUGUCUUGUCUUUGCCCUUGCCUUUUCUGUAACUCACCAUUUAUUGUAUUUACAAAUCUAGUAAGGGUUUUGAUCACACCAAGUUCUUUGUAUUGAGAAGUCUAGGGCAGAGCUCUGGGGGAUUGUUAUUUUACAUUACCUGGCCUAGAGUAGCAUAUUAGACAACAGUCAUCAUUGCAAGUAGGAGGACCGUAAAUGGCAUUUUACAUGACUGCAAGUAUUGUUAUACCGAAUCCUAUUUUAAAAGAGUUUUAGUAACGGUGAGCUGAGAAAUUCUGGUCAUGGUGAGCAGCAGGCGCAAGCCAUGCAGCCUGUGGACUGUGCGCAUUGAUAUGUGGAGGCUGUUGAUUUCAACCUUUUUUAAACUUGUGUUUUUUAGUAAAAUUGCUUAUUUUUUUCCCAAAGGUGGAAUUUAAUGUUUUGUAGUGAUGAAUAUGAAAAUGCCUGUCAUCUUUAGAUCAUUGAAAGGUUAACUAACAUGAGAAUUUCAGAGCAAAUUCCAAUACUCUUUUAAAAAGCGUGUCUGCCCUCUCUUACUUCUAUGUAUUUGUUUAUCGACACACUCACCCUUUCUGAGAUAGCAUUUUGCUCCCUUGAUCCCCCCCUUUUUUUGUCCCUUCGAAGAGUAAAUGCUUUGUAUUUCUUUCUUUAAAAAAUUUACUUUAAAGAAGAAGCCACUUGAACCUUCAAUAAAGGCUGUUGCCUAAACAUGGCGUACUUCAUCUGUUCCCGCCUCUGCCAUCUGCUACGGUGUCGUCAGUUGUAUGGCAUUAAUUUCCUGCCACUAGAGAUAUUUUGAAGAUUGCUUGAAUGCUGGUGUCUGUUAGAAUGCUUCUGACUACAGAUGUAAUUAAAGGCUUUUCUUACUAUGUUUUAACCAAAGAUGUGGAGCAAUCCAAGCCGCAUAUCUACUGCAUUAAAUUUGUCCAUUUGGUUAUUCAUAAUCGGGUAUUGCAUUUUGCCUUCCCUGUCCAUACCUCAAAUUGAUUGAUACCUCAGUUUAAUUCAGAGAGGUUCGCUAAGUGUUGGAUUCUAGUUGUGGUUUGAAUGCAGCAGUGUACUCUUGAAGUAAGCAGGCAAGGGUCACUGCAGGCAUGAAGCUUGGAUUGCUUCAGAUGGUUUGCCGUAUCGUUUUUCUUCCUUUUCCUUUUCUGGGGACUUGUUUCCAUUCAAUGACAAUUAAAAUAGCUUGUAAAUGAGGGCAUACAAGCAUUUGCAACAAGUAUUCAAAUAGAGGCUCACAGCGGCAUAAGCUGGACUUUGUCGCCACUAGAUGACAAGAUGGUAUACCUAAGCUAACCACACGUGUGUAUCUCAAGGGACUUAAAUUCAGCUGUCUGUAGUGAAUUCAAGUGGGAAAUUUUCAAAAGUUUCUCCUGCUGGAAAUAAGGUAUAAUUUGUAUUUUGCAGACAAUUCAGUAAAGUUACUGGCUUUCUUAGUG
rnacentral:lncRNA from 1 species